CUAAUACAUGCAAGUCGAGCGAACAGAUAAGGAGCUUGCUCCUUUGACGUUAGCGGCGGACGGGUGAGUAACACGUGGAUAACCUACCUAUAAGACUGGGAUAACUUCGGGAAACCGGAGCUAAUACCGGAUAAGAUUUUGAACCGCAUGGUUCAAUAGUGAAAGACGGCCUUGCUGUCACUUAUAGAUGGAUCCGCGCCGUAUUAGCUAGUUGGUAAGGUAACGGCUUACCAAGGCAACGAUACGUAGCCGACCUGAGAGGGUGAUCGGCCACACUGGAACUGAGACACGGUCCAGACUCCUACGGGAGGCAGCAGUAGGGAAUCUUCCGCAAUGGGCGAAAGCCUGACGGAGCAACGCCGCGUGAGUGAUGAAGGUCUUCGGAUCGUAAAACUCUGUUAUCAGGGAAGAACAAACGUGUAAGUAACUGUGCACGUCUUGACGGUACCUGAUCAGAAAGCCACGGCUAACUACGUGCCAGCAGCCGCGGUAAUACGUAGGUGGCAAGCGUUAUCCGGAAUUAUUGGGCGUAAAGCGCGCGUAGGCGGUUUUUUAAGUCUGAUGUGAAAGCCCACGGCUCAACCGUGGAGGGUCAUUGGAAACUGGAAAACUUGAGUGCAGAAGAGGAAAGUGGAAUUCCAUGUGUAGCGGUGAAAUGCGCAGAGAUAUGGAGGAACACCAGUGGCGAAGGCGACUUUCUGGUCUGUAACUGACGCUGAUGUGCGAAAGCGUGGGGAUCAAACAGGAUUAGAUACCCUGGUAGUCCACGCCGUAAACGAUGAGUGCUAAGUG
rnacentral:rRNA from 1 species